rnacentral:tRNA from 1 species
GCCACCUUAGCUCGAAUGGUAGAGCGACUGAUUUGUAAUCAGUAGGUUCUCGGUUCGAAUCCGAGAGGUGGCU